rnacentral:lncRNA from 1 species
GGAGAGAAAGAAUUUCAACUUUAAUGGAAGAACCGUGAUAAGCUAAAAAGAAAGGCAUUGCCCCGGUAGAUGUUUUUAUUUUUGUUUUUUGUUCCAAUUUUUCUUUUUCUCUUUCUUUUCUUCUUUUUUUUGUUUUGUUUGUUUUUGUUUUGUUUUUUGUUUUUUGUUUUUAUUUUUUUCUUGGAUUGAAUCUACACUCAUAGGAUUAGGCAAGUCCUGGUUAUCCCUUUCGAUCAGAAUCAAUGUUAUUCCAGAUAAGGUCUUCCACAUAAAAUCUUCCACUUUCAUUUUGUAUGCGGCAGAUCUUCUUUGGUAUCAGGCUUCUCUCAUAGAGCCUUUUGGGGCGAAUUUUAACUAUAGCAAAAAG